GAUGAACGCUGGCGGCGUGCCUAAUACAUGCAAGUCGAACGCUGGAGAUCUAGCUUGCUAGAUCGAAGGAGUGGCGAACGGGUGAGUAAUAAAUAAGCAACCUACCCACGAAGACUGGGAUAAUCUCUGGAAACGGGGACUAAUACCGGAUAGGUAAUCGGAAGGCAUCUUCUGGUUAUUAAAGGUUAAAAACACUGGUGGAUGGGCUUAUGGCGCAUUAGUUAGUUGGUGAGGUAACGGCCCACCAAGACGAUGAUGCGUAGCCGGCCUGAGAGGGUGAACGGCCACAUUGGGACUGAGACACGGCCCAGACUCCUACGGGACGCAGCAGUAGGGAAUUUUCGGCAAUGGGGGCAACCCUGACCGAGCAACGCCGCGUGAGUGAAGACGGCCUUCGGGUUGUAAAGCUCUGUUGUAAGGGAAGAACGGUAGAUAGAGAAUAUCUAAGUGACGGUACCUGACCAGAAAGCCACGGCUAACUACGUG
rnacentral:rRNA from 1 species